GACGAGCAUGUGAUUCAGGAUGAGAUUGAUGAGGUUGAGAUGGCGGUGCCUGUUGCUGAGGAGUCGAUGGUUGUUGUUCGGCAGCCGGUGCCUGUUACUAAGGAGCUGGUGCCUAGAGUUGAGGAGUCGGUGACUGUGGUUGAGGAAGGGGUUGUUGAGGAGCGGGUGAUGCAUGAUAAAGACACCACCACUGGUGCAUCUACAAAGCCAUCAGCACACACUGAUGGAGCUUUUCCAAGAGGACCUUCUGACAGGUCCGUUUUAACAGGAUAUGUUGACCAUGUCGCUUAUAGGAUAUGGCAGGGCGAGUGCUGAAGGUCGCUUCUCACAAGUCGAAGUUGAAGAACUUCCCUGAGAGACCGAUGCCUGAGCAAGUGGCGAGGAUAGUUCAGGACUUCCAUUUGAUGGAUUUUGCUGGAUGCUCCCUGACGAUGAUAGACGCCCCUCUAUUAUCAGCUUUCGUUGAGAGGUGGCACCUGGAGACAUCAUCCUUUCAUCUUCCAUUCGGGGAGAUGACUGUGAUUUUGGAUGAUGUGUAUUCCCUAUUUCACCUUCCGAUUGCUAGUACAUUUUUCAUACUAGUUCACAGGGACCAUGCGACGGCUGUGCACAUGGUGACGAAGGCUUUUAAGAUUGAUGAGGUGUUUGUGCUUAAGGAGUUUGGUGAGACUCAGGACUUUCACCUCAGGAUGUCUUGGUUAGGAAGGUUUAUCAGGAGCUUGCUGAUGCAGGGAGGUACCAGGCUGCCGCUUGGGCAUAGAAGCUACAUCUAUUGGCAUGUACUCUCUUUGCGGACAAGUCUGGAGUUUAUAUAGAUGUCCGCUAUCUUUCUCUAUUCAGUGACCUUGACACCCCAUGUUAGGAUUGGGGAGUGGCGGCAUUGACGGUGUUGUACCUGGCACUUGAUGAUGCAUUUUGUCUUGACACCAGACAGCUUGCUCGUUAUAUGAGCUUAUUAUAGUGUUGGAUCUACGAGCAUUUCCCUCACAUCUGUACGGAAGAUUCAGCGUUGUGCGGAUGCUAACCCAUGUGCGAGGAGGUGGAAGGCCAAACAGGUCAUUCCAAAAGGGGUGAUUGAGUACAGACGGAGGCUGGAUUCUAUGACGCUGGAUGAUGUCAUCUAGACACCGUAUACAGGUCACCGCGCUCAUCAUCCUUUUGAUGUAUCUUCUUUAUAUUCAGGGUACACCAGUAUGGUUAUAUACAGGGCAUCCUACGGCCGGUCUUAGAGGCUCCAGCUGGUGGACGAACAUCUUUUUUAUUGCAUCAUCUUUUUGGCUAGUACAUGUUUCGAGUGUAAAGAAAAUAACAUCAAUAACAAACAAACAUAGUUAACAAACAUCAGAUGACAAACAACAAGCAUAAACAGUACUUCAAAACAUGAAAACCUAGGCACUAAUGAAUGACUCUUGACGAAUCAGACACUUCAUUAUGUCGUCCACGGAUCUUUGAAUUUGCGCAUCCAAUUCGAUCGGACCUUUAGCUAUCCUACGGCGAAAUGAUUUCCACAUGGCCUUCACAUCUUCAUCAUUCUUCAACUCGAUUAAGUUGUAUUUCACCCUUCCAUUUGUAUCAAUCAAGUCCUCCCGGAACUCGAUCUUUAUCACCCUUCUGUUAUCGAAAUCAGGCAACAAAUUAUUCAACGUUUCCUUCAAGGUGGAAAAGGAUUCGGGCCCAUCUGGAAUCUUGGUUUGAACAGCAGGGUUGCAGCCAUUGAAAUACACUUCUACAUUAAUCAAAUACUGAGGAAGAGGCAUUUUGUUGAAAUGAUGUGUUAUCCAAUAACCUUAACACCCCUAUUUAUACAAAUGGUGGUGUAUUCUAGACCACACAAAUGUGUCGGUGCAAUCUGAACCCUCCAAAAGUGUCGCAAAAUCUCAACCGUUAAAAAAACCAAAAAUUGAAACAUACCAGAAAUUUUAGUUAUAAUGAAAUUUUCGGUACUCUCCGAAAUUUAUGGGAUACCGGGAAUUUUAAAAUAAGUAAAAUUUUUAGUAUGAUCUACCGGAAAUUUUCUUAUAACUGGAAAUUCUGGUAUGAUGUACCAGAAAUUUGACAGUGCAUACCAGAAAUUCUUUGUAUCUCAACAUUUUUAAACAAGGGUAAAAUUGGAUUAAAAAAAUAUGGGAGGUGCCAAGUCAAAUUUUGGGGGUGGCAUGUAGAUUUCUCUAAUAUGUGACAUUUAUUUUUCAACAUUCUCGAAUCAAAUCACAAUUAAAUAUUACAUACACUCAUUCUCUCUCUUAAUUAAAUUUUCAAAUCUCUCUCACAUUUUUUCCGACACUU